CGCCAAAGGUUGGCCCCCCUUGGUCCCAUGACACAUCCCUUGGUCCCUUAUUUAAAUGGGACAUCCAACAUGGCUUUACUAUUGAGCUUUUGGGUUGAAACUAGAGAGAAGGGAUGUGGAAAUCAUAAAAAAAAAUUUGAAAAAUAUCUGAGAAAAAGGCAAGGGGAAAUUGAGUGGUAAAAGUUGUAAGAAGGAUGGUGAGAUUUUUAACAAGUGUUGCUAGUGUACCCUAGGAUUUAUUUUUUCCAUAUGUUGGAGCCAAAAAUCAAAUCUUAGGUUGUAAGAAAUCUAAAGAGUAUCUUCUUGGUGUCAUUCUGGUGGCA
rnacentral:lncRNA from 1 species